AACGGGAAAAAAACAGCGAUUUGACAUUUUUGUGCGAGUGUAAGUUUCGAUUCCGAUCUGGCUGGUUGUCUGACGGACGUGCUGCGUCUCUUUUGUUGUGUUUUUUUUUGCGAACGAGCGAAGUGCGACAGGACCUCUGCGCCCGUAUACAAACUGAUUUUUUUUAUUGUUGCAAUGCAAUAUUCGCGGAACGAAUAACAACAUAUAUAACUCAACAUUCAAGUGCAAAG